UCUAAUUUUGGAUUUCUUUGGAUUUUUGAUAUUCCACGUCUAAUUUAGCUAAUAAACCAAUAUUCAAAACGCUACAGUUUCGACGUCAAAGGUCGCAUCAAAAAAGUGUUUCGUGCAUUCUUUGCGUGUGCGUCUGAAGAUGUCGUGUGCAAAGUUUGGUGUCGAUUGGUCAAGAAAUGUGGGAGGAGUAGGGAAAAAACUGUUUUGCGGUUUUCGCGAUUUUGCGAAAAAAAAUUAUUGACGCAAAUGGGCGUGGCCUAUGCCAAAAGAUGCAGCAGACUCCAGUGAAUAUGUGGGUACUAUAGACGCAAAUGGGCGUGGCCUAUGCCAAAAGAUGCAGCAGACUCCAGUGAAUAUGUGCGUACAAGUUUUUGACUGUGGGAGGUUCGGUGUGGGAGUUAUAGCCCCAAACGCGUAUUCCUUGGUAUAGCGCCACCUAGUGGCCGGCAUGCCUGGAUUUUGUCGUCUGCAUAGUCUUCAGGGACCUGGAUCUAUUCAUGCAAUUGGCGUGUCGGCACCAUUUACGGUCUGGGCUGUGGUACCACUUCUAGUUGGGAAUAAUAAUAAUAACUAGAACUGCAAGCAGUUAUGCAGGGGUCCAAGAAGUGUGCAUUUCGCCGGCACAACGCGAAGCAUGUGUUCGAAAUUGAGAAACGGCGUAUGCCAAAAGAUGCAGCUGACUCCAGUGAAUCUGUGGAUAGAAAGGUUUUGACAGUGGGAGGUUCGGUGUGGGAGUUAUAGCCCAAAACGCGUUUUCAGAACAUUCCAUUGGCCAAUUAGGAGAUGUAUUAUUUCGUCGUUUUUUUGCGCCCUCUUGUGGCGAAAUUUUCCAAAGACAAUUUUCCUUUUCCAAAUAACUCCCGCCCACAUUAAUAAUUCUUGACCAUAAUUUUUAUAUAGACUCGGGUUUGCCCCUUGAUGGUUUCCCUUGAGUUUGAAGAACAUUCCUUUGGCCAAUUAGAAGAUAUACAAUUUCCUUGUUUAUUGCGCCCCCUAAUGGCGAAAUAUUCCGAAUUCUUUAUUGACCGCCAUUUAGGGUAGCACCGACAUGUGUCUAAAAUUCGGACUUGAUCCGAUGUCUAAUUUUGGUAUUUUUUGAAUUUUUGCGUUUCGGCGU
rnacentral:lncRNA from 1 species